UUGAACCCAUCGCAACAGGGGCAAGACCAGGAGGCCAGUCAUGUUUUUCGAUAAUGUGGUGUUUGCCGGGGUGCUGACGGUUGGCCUCAUGGUCGUAUUUUUCGCAGGCUUUGGAUUAUUCAUCUGGAAAGACGCACACAAGCGCAAAAAACCGUAGGUCUUUCCGGUUACAACGAGCACGCAAGGCAUUUUGGGCGACUUCGGUCGCCCUUUUUUUUG
rnacentral:sRNA from 1 species